UGAAUGAAAGUAACAUGUUAGUCUGACUCAUACGAACACGAACGUCCUUCACGGAAAAGGAUUUUUUUUCAGAAAUAUCUAGAAAAGAUGACGACUUUUAAAUAUUUGAAGAUGCUGCACCUGUCUAACUGUGUUUUGAUGCCAAUGCUGCUGAUGAUCGCUGAUGCCUGCUGUUCCCCUUAUGCCUGAUGUAGAGAGAGGGACGAUAAUAAAAUAGAGCUGCCCUGCUUCAGACACAGCAAUGCCUGGUGUCCCCUCUCCUUUCUCACUCACACCUAACACAAAGCAGAGACUAAACUAGUGAAGAAGAGUGGGCCUAUGGUGCAGACGUCGCCGAACAGGGGUUACACACACACACACACACACACACACACACACGUAGUGUUUCCAUGUUUUAUGGGGACUUUCCCUAAACCUAGCCCUCACAGAAAACAUUCUGCAUUUUUACAUUUUCAAAAAACAUAAUUUAGUAUGAUUUAUAAGCUGUUUUCCUCAUGGGGACCGACAAAAUGUCCCCACAAGGUCAAAAAUUUCGGGUUUUACUAUCCUUAUGGGGACAUUUGGUCCCCACAAAGUGAUAAAUACACGCUCACACACACACAUACACACACACACACACACACACACACACACACACACACAUAUAAUCACGUCAUCCAUACACAUCCAUUCAUAAAGAAUGUACGACGCACUAAUCUUAUUCUAAAUACUUCAAUCAGAAGCUGGCUGCUUUAAAUGCAUUUUGAGCGCGCAAUUACGGCUCGCGCUUGCACAGUUGCGGGUGAAGACAACAAUCUGAUCACCGCUUCAAACUGCACCAACAGUGAUGCAGCCAACAAAGAAUUUAUGGAAUCUGACUUGAAAUGCUAUGCCGUGAUUACAUUUCCUCAGGAUAACACUGUUGACAUUGUGCCUUCUACAUGGCUUGAAAUAACAAGCGAGGCUGUAUACUGCUAUUGGCCGCGUGAAAACUUAACGGUCAAGGUGAAGCGAAGAGAUGCACCUGAUACUACACUCUGGUCGAAGCAUGUUGCAUCCAUUCUAGUUUAUGCAGACAGCUACGAAGAAGCCAGGUGCAAAGCAAACCAGGCAACCAUAACUUCAAACUUGGAGAGUGAGGAUGAAGAUUUGAUUAGUAGAAAAAUAAGACCCCCAGUAUGAUACAGUAGAGCAUUGGAUAUUGG